UGAACCACGCCCCCAAAGCUGCAGGCUUUAACUGAAAACUACUCAGCAGGUGUCUCUUUGCUAUUAAAGAAGCUGAUGCAUUCGGAUGGCAUGUGGAAAAGCCAGUGUGAAGUGUAAAUCUUUAAGGUGAACCAAUCAGUGUGUUCUAAGGCCUAACUGACCAUGAGGCCUGAUGAACUGUGUGACUGGCAGGUGCACAGAGAGAGUUUCCCAUUACUCCUGGGGGAAUUCGGUGCGUAAAAAUUCUGCGAACAAUAUUUUAAAUUUGUGCAUAGUUAAUUUCUCAAAAUAACAUAAUAAUCACACUAGUUUCAAUUAUUUUGUUAAUUUAUUUCAAAAUACCUGUCAGCAAGUAUGUCUAACAAUACAGACAA